CUCCAACUGAAGUAAUGGGGUAGUUGAGAGUUCAGUCUUGAUGCAAAUAAGUCCAGUUGUAACGGGCCCCAUAGUUGAUCUAUCUGUCGAAAGAUCGAAGGCAGCAGGUGCCAAUCUCCCUAGUCUUUCAAGUAGCGCGAAUUCCAAUCCGCCCAUUCGUUGUCCAAGCCCGGGAUGUGUUCGGCCAUAACCGACACCGCGUUGUGGAGGCAAAACUGCCAGAAGUCCUUUGCCAG
rnacentral:lncRNA from 1 species